rnacentral:rRNA from 1 species
UACGUAGGGACCAAGCGUUGUUCGGAUUUACUGGGCGUAAAGGGCGCGUAGGCGGCAAUUCAAGUCAUCUGUGAAAUCUCCGGGCUUAACCCGGAACGGUCAGAUGAUACUGCUUUGCUAGAGUGCGGAAGGGGCAAUCGGAAUUCUCGGUGUAGCGGUGAAAUGCGUAGAUAUCGAGAGGAACACCUGAGGUGAAGACGGGUUGCUGGGCCGACACUGACGCUGAGGCGCGAAAGCUAGGGGAGCAAACGGG